GCUGGGUGGUGCCGCGCAUUUUCUGCUUAUGCCAUGUCUACUUGGGACCCACAAAUACUCUUUCAUGAAAUGAAUUAAAACAACAGCACAUAUGUCUUCUGCUCCCUUCUGACCUUGUCUAGAGUGACUGUUUCAUGGCCUGGCUCUUUGUUUCUUAAAAGGACCAUGCCCAAGAAUCAUUGAAUAAAGCCAAAAAGCUCUUUAGGAAAAAAAAAAAAAAAAAAAAGACCCUUCAACAGAGUCCCAAAACUGCAGGAGCACCUUUAAGACAGCUGAUGGCGGUGAGGGUCAGCUUUCUCACCCACCUGAAGGAGCAGAGUCAGACCUGUGCUGGCUGAAUAUUGCUUUGUGGUGUCUGGGUUUCAUUCCCUGUUGUCUGCGGGGGAGGGAGGGAGGGAGGGAAAGAAGACUGGGGAGACAGGCAGAGUCUUCCUGAAACAGAUAUCAGAGCCUUCCUAUCAGGUUGAAAAGAUGACAAUCUUUUUCCCAUUUAAGGAAAGCAAUCAGCUCAGCUCACACAAAUGCUGCAUUUCCCUUGCAAAUGAGCUUCAUUACCAGCUUGUUUUAUGACUUUUCUCUUAGCUAGAGUGAACUUCUUUCUUAUGGCUCUGGGUCCUAGUAGAAAAUUGCCAAGGCUUUGAAUUAUAUUCUCAUCUAUAAUCACACUUAAUUAUGAAGUUUGCCACAAGGCUGUGUGUGAGUAUAUUGGAAGGAGCUAUCUUGGUCCAGUGAGAUUUCUCUCAGCUAAACACACACCCUGGAUUUGUAGAAAAUAUUCUUUUAACAUACUUUACCUUUAACAUUGAACUUAUUAAUGCCAGGUUUAUAGUCCUUAGGAAACAUUAUCAGGUAACCUGGCUCAAACUAAAAUCAAAACCAAAGUCUGAAAGUUCCGCGUCCAUAUAAUAAUUAUCCUCCUAAUGGUACCAUGUGACUUGAUUAAUAAUAUCCACUCUGGACAUACACCAUUUUACAAAAUAGCUCAUUUGCUUAGGGGAACUUAUCCUGCAAUUGUGUUGAUCGAAAAUCAGUUUUAAACGACAAUAUCUUCAAGGGUCAAGCUAUCUCUUUCUUUAGACAGUCAGUGUAAAAAUAGGCAGUGAGAAUGUGUUAAUAAUUCACAAAAUAAAAAAUAAAGAUAAUCAACAAACAUAUAAUGGUAAGACUGAACUCACCAGUGAGGGAGUAACAUGCAAAUUUAAACAAGUUACAAUUGUUCACAUAUUGAUAAAUACUGUUUAUUAAAUAAUUUAAAAACCAGUAUUUAUGGAAGUGCAAGCAGAUGGGCACACUCAGAAGUGGCUCCAUGGUGAGGAAACGGGUGUGUCCUCAUGAAAGGGAAUUGGGCAGCCAGUGUAAGCACUUGGAGUAAUGUGUCCUCCUAAAUUUAUCCUAAGGAAUAGUGAUCAGCUUCUCCUCCAUUAAAGGAUAUUUGAUGUACAAUGAUAUUCAGAGAAGCAUUGUUGAUAUAGUGAAAAAUUGAGAACACACUGUAUAUCCAGUAAUAAGGGGAAAAUGAAUAAGUUUUGAUCUCUUUUUAAGACAGAGUAUUAUGCAUCUAUGAAAACUGUGUUUUUAGGUAACAGGCAAGGUUAAUUAAAACCACAGUGAAAUAAUAUUUUAUACCCAUCAACCUGGUAAAAAUCUGAGAGUCUGACAAUAAGUCCACGAAGCUAUAUGAAAUCUAUGCACAAUGGGCAACGUCUAGUGCCCCACAAUUCCACUCCAGGUAUAGUUUCCUAGA
rnacentral:lncRNA from 1 species